rnacentral:rRNA from 1 species
AGUGAACGCUGGCGGUAGGCCUAACACAUGCAAGUCGAACGGCAGCACAGUAAGAGCUUGCUCUUACGGGUGGCGGGUGGCGGACGGGUGAGGAAUACAUCGGGAUCUACUUUUUCGUGGGGGAUAACGUAGGGAAACUUACGCUAAUACCGCAUACGACCUACGGGUGAAAGCAGGGGUUCUUCGGACCUUGCGCGAUUGAUUGAGCCGAUGUCGGAUUAGCUAGUUGGCGGGGUAAAGGCCCACCAAGGCGACGAUCCGUAGCUGGUCUGAGAGGAUGAUCAGCCACACUGGAACUGAGACACGGUCCAGACUCCUACGGGAGGCAGCAGUGGGGAAUAUUGGACAAUGGGCGCAAGCCUGAUCCAGCCAUACCGCGUGGGUGAAGAAGGCCUUCGGGUUGUAAAGCCCUUUUGUUGGGAAAGAAAAGCAGCAGGUUAAUACCCCGCUGUUCUGACGGUACCCAAAGAAUAAGCACCGGCUAACUUCGUG